rnacentral:rRNA from 1 species
AGCGAACGCUGGCGGCAGGCUUAACACAUGCAAGUCGAGCGGGCAUCCUUGUGGUGUCAGCGGCAGACGGGUGAGUAACGCGUGGGAACGUGCCCUUCGGUUCGGAAUAACUCAGGGAAACUUGAGCUAAUACCGGAUACGUGCGAGAGCAGAAAGGUUUAUCUGCCGAAGGAUCGGCCCGCGUCUGAUUAGCUAGUUGGUGAGGUUACGGCUCACCAAGGCGACGAUCAGUAGCUGGUCUGAGAGGAUGAUCAGCCACACUGGGACUGAGACACGGCCCAGACUCCUACGGAAGGCAGCAGUGGGGAAUAUUGGACAAUGGGGGCAACCCUGAUCCAGCCAUGCCGCGUGAGUGAUGACGGCCUUAGGGUUGUAAAGCUCUUUUCUCCGGGACGAUAAUGACGGUACCGGAGGAAUAAGCCCCGGCUAACUUCGUG